CCUACGUGCGGCAGCAGUAGGGAAUAUUGCUCAAUGGGGGAAACCCUGAACCAGCCAUGCCGCGUGCAGGAAGACGGCUCUAUGAGUUGUAAACUGCUUUUGUACGAGGGUAAACGCAGAUACGCGUAUCUGUCUGAAAGUAUCGUACGAAUAAGGAUCGGCUAACUCCGUGCCAGCAGCCGCGGUAAUACGGAGGAUUCAAGCGUUAUCCGGAUUUAUUGGGUUUAAAGGGUGCGUAGGCGGUCGGAUAAGUUAGAGGUGAAAUCCCGAGGCUCAACUUCGGAAUUGCCUCUGAUACUGUUCGGCUAGAGAGUAGUUGCGGUAGGCGGAAUGUAUGGUGUAGCGGUGAAAUGCUUAGAGAUCAUACAGAACACCGAUUGCGAAGGCAGCCUGCCGGGGUGCGACUGACGCUGAGGCUCGAAGGUGCGGGUAUCAAACAGGAUUAGAUACCCCAGUAGUC
rnacentral:rRNA from 1 species